rnacentral:tRNA from 1 species
GGGCGCAUAGCUCAGUUGGUAGAGCAGUCGACUCUUAAUCGACUUGUCGCAGGUUCGAUCCCUGCUGCGCCUACCA